UUGCUGAUAUGGGUGUGCUCCUAUUCGCUCCCCUACUGGAAAAUUUGUACGGGGGAAGAACACGUGACGCAGUCCGCUGCUCCGAGGGCCUAGACUUUCUGCUCCAACAUACGUAGCUGUCAGUCUAACUUCAACAGAUGCCAAGGUGUCCUACAGAGUCACAUGUAGGCCCAGGAGCCAUGCAGACAUCUUCAACAACAACAGCCUGUCAGGCCCUAUCUGGACUGCUGGUGCUGCUGCUGCUACUGCUGGGUUCAGGCCCUGGGACAGCAGGGCCAACAGAAUAUAUACUCACACACCGGGACUGACUAGUAUUUAUUAUACAAUCGUAUCAUCUUUCAGUGGAAUGCUAUUGGGUUGAUGAACAUAUGGUGUUAUUAUUUUAUAAAGAUAUAUCAGUAAUUCUGAGAUAAACUGAAUUAAGGAGUAGGAAAAUGGGUCUUGUUUGAGUGUCUGUAAAGUGAUUAAAAAUGAUAUCUCAUUCACUCCUGAUUUCAUUUAUACUAUCUGGGAGCAAUCAGCAAUCAAUAUAAAAGGCUAAUCUUUGGGAAGCCUGAGACACAGGUUUGCCAAAAUGUUAAGCUUAGUCAGUUG